rnacentral:rRNA from 1 species
AGCGAACGUUAGCGGCGCGCCUAACACAUGCAAGUCGCACGAGAAAGGGCUUCGGCCCCGGUAAAGUGGCGCACGGGUGAGUAACACGUGGGUAACCUGCCCAACCCUGGGGGAUAACCUGCCGAAAGGCGGGCUAAUACCGCGUACGAGGGCUCGACUUCGGUCGGGUUCUGAAAGCAGGCCUCUGUAUACAAGCUUGUGGGGUUGGAUGGGCCCGCGCUCCAUAAGCUAGUUGGUGGGGUAACGGCUCACCAAGGCUACGACGGUUAGCUGGCCGGGGAGGAUGAUCAGCCACACUGGAGCUGGGACACGGUCCAGACUCCUACGGGAGGCAGCAGUGGGGAAUCUUGCGCAAUGGACGAAAGUCUGACGCAGCGACGCCGCGUGGGUGACGAAGGCCUUCGGGUUGUAAAGCCCUGUGGGGUGAGACGAACAGCUGGGGUUCAAAUAGGGCCUUGGUCUGACGGUAUCACCUUAGCAAGCACCGGCUAACUCUGUGCCAGCCGCCGCGGUAAUAC